rnacentral:misc_RNA from 1 species
CCAGUCACCAAGCUUCGCCCAUUGAUAAAGGAUUAGCACCGCAGAUUAGAGGUAUGAUAUAGGCGCUUCGACAAUACUGAUAAGAGUGAUUGCUACGACGCCAUCCCCAAGUUUGCGUAUUUCCGAUGAAAGAUGGGAGCUUGCUACAUUUAAAAGGGUUCACCGAGAUACUGGUUAGAGUAUACCGACGAGAAGACCCC